GACGAACGCUGGCGGCGUGCUUAACACAUGCAAGUCGAACGGAAAGGCCCUGCUUUUGUGGGGUGCUCGAGUGGCGAACGGGUGAGUAACACGUGAGUAACCUGCCCUUGACUUUGGGAUAACUUCAGGAAACUGGGGCUAAUAUCGGAUAGGAGCUCCUGCUGCAUGGUGGGGGUUGGAACGUUUCGGCGGUUGGGGAUGGACUCGCGGCUUACCAGCUUGUUGGUGGGGUAGUGGCUUACCAAGGCCUUGACGGGUAGCCGGCCUGAGGGGGUGACCGGCCACAUGAGGACUGAGAGACGGCCCAGACUCCUACGGUAGGCAACGGGGGGGAAUAUGGCACAGUGGGCGGGAGCCUGAUGCGGCGACGCCGCGUGCGGGAUGACGGCCUUCGGGUUGUAAACCGCUUUCGCCUGUGACGAAGCGGGAGUGACGGUAAUGGGUGAAGAAGCACCGGCUAACUACGUG
rnacentral:rRNA from 1 species